CCCGCUGAACUUAAGCAUAUCAAUAAGCGGAGGAAAAGAAACCAACAGGGAUUGCCUUAGUAACGGCGAGUGAAGCGGCAAAAGCUCAAAUUUGAAAUCGGCCUCCAGGUCGAGUUGUAAUUUGUAGAUUGUAUUUU
rnacentral:rRNA from 1 species